rnacentral:sRNA from 1 species
GCUGGGUGCAGUGGGCAUGCCUGUAAUCCCAGCAGCCCUGGAGGCUGAGGCAGGAGGAUCAUGAGUUCAAAGCCAGUCUCAGCAACAGUGAGGUGCUAAGCAACUCGGUGAGACCCUGUCUCUA